CUUACCUACUCCAAACAUGGGGGAGUAUUUGUGUAUAUAUCCAUGUGUUCUUUAAGCACAUGUGAUGCCACUCAAGGUUGGGGUGGGAGAUGAUUAGUAUGUCAAUUAAGGAGUAUUUCAGGAGACCAAGGCUGCCCCUGGCACCUCUCAGUGUGACAGAGAGAUAUAGAAGAGUCAUGGGGAGUUUACCUAGUUUGGUCAAAACAUGCCUCCUGGUACUAAUGAACAAGGGCUUAGGAGUCAGGAGGCGGGGUUCAAAUCCUUGCUCAGCUACUAUGUGACCUUGGCCAACUUCCUUCCAUGGCUCUCCAUUUCCUCAUCUAUCAAACAAAGAUUGUACAAACAAGUCCAACAAACCCACCAUUAUGCCCAUCCUGGCCCAUGAAAGCAAGCCCUCUGCUCUAGCCAAAAUUGGAAUCAUCAGCCUGAGACCCUGCUCCCCCUCCUAUGGCCCUAUCCUAUCCUGAUCAGACUGCACUAGAAUUCUCCCUGGUUCUGAGCUCUGCACUUCUUACCCUGUCCCGGAUGACUGCUCUUCCACCCCCUGAUUUCUCCGUCCUCCUGAUUUUCCUGAGGAGAUGGACCAGCUCUUUGGAGCUGGGGUAUGGGAUCCUCUCUGGCAGCGUGCUGCAGGACAAAGGUGGCUUCAACAGAAGUGCAGAUUUCAAUUUCCUUGCAUCCCUUGGUCUGUUUGUGACCUGCUGAUGGUAAAACCUCUUCAUUUAUCAAUGUGCUCAGGAUGGUGGCUUGGGGACUUCCAAGAUCUAUAUACAGAGGUAAGAAAUCGUCAUGGGAUUACAAGAACUGGUUUACUCUGUACUCACCUAAUGCAAGAGGGAAGACCAGUGUGUGUGUGUGUGUGUGUGGGGGGGUUAGUUUCCUUUAACAUCUGCAUGGUUUUGCCCUUUUCAAAUGGCAGUGGGAGCCACUGCGAGCCUGCCAGUGGCCCUGGCUCUUCCAACUGUACGCAGGUCUUUUAAUGGAAAGACAGUGCAAGUUUGAGUUCAGAGGGUCUGGGUGUAGUUCCUACUCCUGCUAAUAAACAGCUGUGCAACCCUGGGAAGUUAGGUGAC
rnacentral:lncRNA from 12 species